CUCCGGGCAGAGCGCGUGUGGCGGCCGAGCACAUGGGCCCGCGGGCCGGGCGGGCUCGGGGCGGCCGGGACGAGGAGGGGCGACGACGAGCUGCGAGCAAAGAUGUGCCCCGGGACCCCCGGCACCUUCCAGUGGAUUUCCUUGCGGAAAGGAUGUUGGCGGUCCCUGUGACCUGUGGAGACACGGCCAGAUCUGCCCUCCAGACCAUAGCUGUCUGCAGUGCAGGAAGCCAACUAUUAAGGGGAAACAAAAGUGUUCUUAGGAGUCCUGCUGUCACUGUGGAUUGAGCCGGUGAAGCCCUGAGGGAUUUCAUCGCUGAGGUGGAUGGAGAAGCAGCUGGGGGCCUUGGCUGUAAGGACCCCUAAGGGCCUGAUCUUUUGGCCAGAAGGAGAUUAAAAAGAUGCCCCUCAAGAUGGCUGUGCCUGUCAGCUGCAUGGAGCUUCGUUCAAGUAUUUUCUGAGCCUGAUGGAUUUACAGUGAUCUUCAGUGGUCUGGGGAAUAACGCUGGUGGAACCAUGCACUGGAAUGACACACGCCCGGCACAUUUCAGGAUACUAAAAGUGGUUUUAAGGGAGGCUGUGGCUGAAUGCCUCAUGGAUUCUUACAGCUUGGAUGUCCAUGGGGGACGAAGGACUGCAGCUGGCUGAGAGGGUUGAGAUCUCUGUUUACUUAGAUCUCUGCCAACUUCCUUUGGGUCUCCCUAUGGAAUGUAAGACCCCGACUCUUCCUGGUGAAGCAUCUGAUGCACGUUCCA
rnacentral:lncRNA from 1 species